GACGAACGCUGGCGGCGUGCUUAACACAUGCAAGUCGAACGGAAAGGCCCUGCUUUUGUGGGGUGCUCGAGUGGCGAACGGGUGAGUAACACGUGAGUAACCUGCCCUUGACUUUGGGAUAACUUCAGGAAACUUGGUCUAAUACCGUAUAGGAUCUCCUGCUUCUUGGUGGGGUUUGGUAAGUUUCGGCGGUUGUGUAUGUACUCGCUGCUUAUCCGCUUGUUGGUGGAGUAGUGGCUUACCAAGGUUUUGACGGGUAGCAGGCCUGAGAGGCUGACCGGCAAAAAUGGGACUGAGAUACGGCACAGAAUAGAACGGGAGGGAGCAGAGGGGAAGAGUGCAGAAUGGGCGGAAGCAUGAGGAAGAAACGCAGGGGGCGGGAUGACGGCCAUGGGGUUGUAAACAGAAGUCGAAUGAGAAGAAGAGUGAGUGACGGUAAUGGGUAAAGAAGCACCGGCUAACUACGUG
rnacentral:rRNA from 1 species